GCAUAGAACCCAGCCCUUCACCCGAAGGGCGAAUGCUGAUGCUUAUUCUAGUUCUAGGGUUUAAGAGCUGCAAGUCACAUUUCAUUCUUCUCUCUCGGGUCCGUCAUUGGUCUACUUUUUUAUAAGUUAUUACCGGAUUAGUUUAGGAAUUACUUAUCAUUAUCUAAUUGUGGAUGCAUCUGUGGCUGUUUAUCAAUUAAAGUAAAGUUUUUAUGUUUUGGCUGGAAUGGUUGUAAUUGGAAUACGAGAUGAUGUUUGGAAAUUCCGCAAGGGCUUUGGAAAUUCUGCAAGGGCUUGGAGCAACAAUAGCUAAGGGACCUGAUACUACCAUUUGGAUUUAGAAUCUAGGUAUACCAGCAAUUUGGAGGACUACCUAAUUACGACUUCACUCCAGUCAAUAACCCUGCCUUCGGCAUCCCCUCCUCGUGGUUAAAGCAAUGACUUCAGGCAUGGCCAGCUCCCAUAGUGUGACUGGCGGUGCGUAGGGUCCGAGUAGAUGAACCAGAUUUUUCCCUGGGGAAGCGACUUCGGGUCUGCAGUGUUUCUACUGCAAGGGGACUGAAAUAAUUUAAACUGUUGUGUGCCUUUUGAUGGCAUUCUCUAAUUGUGCACUGUUAGAUUCAAUUUUAUCUCAUGUAUGAAAUAGUUGAGAGCGCAUUGUUGUGGGCACAAUGCACAAUUAACUCAAAAUUUAUUGUUAUUGCUUCAUGCCACAUUUUUAAAUGUUUCUGACCUCUUUUAUUUUUCUCAAACAUUCUUUAGCUUUUGGUCCC